rnacentral:rRNA from 1 species
GGAGGAAAGCAGGGGAUCGCAAGACCUUGCGCUAAAGGAGCGGCCGAUGUCUGAUUAGCUAGUUGGUGGGGUAAAGGCUUACCAAGGCAACGAUCAGUAGUUGGUCUGAGAGGACGACCAACCACACUGGGACUGAGACACGGCCCAGACUCCUACGGGAGGCAGCAGUGGGGAAUUUUGGACAAUGGGCGAAAGCCUGAUCCAGCCAUUCCGCGUGAGUGAAGAAGGCCUUCGGGUUGUAAAGCUCUUUUAGUCGGAAAGAAAGAGUUGCAAUGAAUAAUUGUGAUUUAUGACGGUACCGACAGAAAAAGCACCGGCUAAAUACGUGCCAGCAGCCGCGGUAAUACGUAGGGUGCGAGCGUUAAUCGGAAUUACUGGGCGUAAAGGGUGCGCAGGCGGUCUUGCAAGUCAGAUGUGAAAGCCCCGGGCUUAACCUGGGAAUUGCGUUUGAAACUACAAAGCUAG